GGAUUAGAUACCCUGGUAGUCCACGCCCUAAACGAUGUGUGCUAGACGUUGGGGGGCUUGCCCUUCGGUGUCGGAGCUAACGUGUUAAGCACACCGCCUGGGGAGUACGGUCGCAAGAUUAAAACUCAAAGGAAUUGACGGGGGCCCGCACAAGCGGUGGAGCAUGUGGUUUAAUUCGACGCAACGCGCAGAACCUUACCAGCCCUUGACAUGGUGGUUACGAUUUCCAGAGAUGGAUCUCUCAGUUCGGCUGGACCAUCACAGGUGCUGCAUGGCUGUCGUCAGCUCGUGCCG
rnacentral:rRNA from 1 species